UACGUAGGGGGCGAGCGUUGUCCGGAUUUAUUGGGCGUAAAGAGCGUGUAGGCGGUUCGGUAAGUCUGUCGUGAAAUCCUGAGGCUCAACCUCGGGCGUGCGAUGGAUACUGCCGGGCUAGAGGGUGGUAGAGGCGAGUGGAAUUCCCGGUGUAGCGGUGAAAUGCGCAGAUAUCGGGAGGAACACCAGUAGCGAAGGCGGCUCGCUGGGCCACACCUGACGCUGAGGUGCGAAAGCGUGGGAGCAA
rnacentral:rRNA from 1 species